rnacentral:rRNA from 1 species
AUACGGAGGGUCCAAGCGUUAUCCGGAAUCAUUGGGUUUAAAGGGUCCGCAGGCGGUCGAUUAAGUCAGAGGUGAAAGCCCAUCGCUCAACGAUGGAACUGCCUUUGAUACUGGUUGACUUGAGUUAUACGGAAGUAGAUAGAAUAAGUAGUGUAGCGGUGAAAUGCAUAGAUAUUACUUAGAAUACCGAUUGCGAAGGCAGUCUACUACGUAUAUACUGACGCUGAGGGACGAAAGCGUGGGGAGCGAACAGGAUUAGAAACCCGAGUAGUCC